rnacentral:lncRNA from 1 species
UGAUAUGGAGGUAUACUAUGAUUUUGCUUAAUUUUGAAGAUAAUUUUUUUUAGAGGCAAAUUAAGAUCCAUUUAUAUAAAGUUGUUUAAGAUUUGGGCUAUGAAACCUUUUUACAGUGCUUGAUUAAAAUAUUCUUCGAGGAUUGAAAACUGUAUGUGGAUCAUGUAUGAAACUCCUGUGUAGAUGGAGAAUAUAUUUGGGAUAAAAUUCUAGAAUUUAUUCUUUGGCUUUACCGAGAAUUUGAAAUUUUAGAUCUUUUCAAAUUACAAUAUAGAUUGGGAUUUUGAUUGGAAGUAAUUUAGUAAAUUAUGAGAAUACUGGUUGUUUAAAUUAUUUUAAGAUGAUCAACGAUAUUAACUCUAUGAUUGGAAAAUAUUUUCUGAUGGGUUUCCUUGUUAAGGAGAAUUUCGUUGUCAAAGAAAAGAAUAGUGUUUUUGAUUUUGACUGGAUAUUAUCAUGUUAUUAAUAGGUUCUUCUAUCUGUUGUAAAGAGAGAGAGAGAGAG